rnacentral:rRNA from 1 species
GACGAACGCUGGCGGCGUGCCUAAUACAUGCAAGUCGAGCGAAGUUUUUCUGGUGCUUGCACUAGAAAAACUUAGCGGCGAACGGGUGAGUAACACGUAAAGAACCUGCCUCAUAGACUGGGACAACUAUUGGAAACGAUAGCUAAUACCGGAUAACAGCAUUAACUGCGUGGUUGAUGUUUAAAAGUUGGUUUUGCUAACACUAUGAGAUGGCUUUGCGGUGCAUUAGCUAGUUGGUGGGGUAAAGGCCUACCAAGGCGACGAUGCAUAGCCGACCUGAGGGGGGGAUCGGCCACACUGGGACUGAGACACGGCCAGACUCCUACGGGAGGCAGCAGUAGGGAAUCUUCCGCAAUGGGCGAAAGCCUGACGGAGCAACGCCGCGUGAGUGAAGAAGGAUUUCGGUUCGUAAAGCUCUGUUGUUAGGGAAGAAUGAUUGUGUAGUAACUAUACACAGUAGAGACGGUACCUAACCAGAAAGCCACGGCUAACUACGUG